UCGGGAAGGCGGGGGGGAGGUGUGUAGGGGCAGCGGCUUCGUCGGAGCGUCAGAUCGGGAGGGAGAGCGCUAGCAGAGAGAGGGAGAAAGAAGAAGAGAAAGAGAGAGAGAGAGGGGAAAGGGAAAGCACCAAGGAGGGCUCCUGCAAGAAAAGAAAGAGAGAGACAAAGUGUGUGUGUGUGUACGCUAGAGAGAGAGAGAGAGAGAGAGAGAGCGUAGCGUGUGCGUCAAAAAGAGCGUAACGACGUCUCCGUUACCUUCUGUCAUCAAUAUUACACGGAUCUCGACGCGUUAGGUGAUCCAAGGGUAAU
rnacentral:lncRNA from 1 species